UAGGGAAUAUUGCGCAAUGGACGAAAGUCUGACGCAGCAACGCCGCGUGGGUGAUGAAGUUUUUCGGAAUGUAAAACCCUGUCGGUGGGGAAGAAACGCACGAGUAGUAACUGGCUCGUGCCUGACGGUACCCACAAAGGAAGUCCCGGCUAACUCCGUGCCAGCAGCCGCGGUAAUACGGGGGGGACGAGCGUUGUUCGGAUUUACUGGGCGUAAAGGGCGCGUAGGCGGACCUCCAAGUCGGAUGUGAAACCCCCGGGCUUAACUCGGGGCCUGCAUUUGAUACUGUUGGUCUUGAGUACAGGAGAGGAGAGUGGAAUUCCAGGUGUAGCGGUGAAAUGCGUAGAUAUCUGGAAGAACACCAGUAGCGAAGGCGGCUCUCUGGACUGAUACUGACGCUCAAGCGCGAAGGCUUGGGGAGCAAACAGG
rnacentral:rRNA from 1 species